rnacentral:rRNA from 4 species
AGACCGAUAGCGAACAAGUAGAGUGAUCGAAAGAUGAAAAGCACUUUGAAAAGAGGGUUAAAUAGCACGUGAAAUUGUUGAAAGGGAAGGAUUUAUGACCAGACUUUUUCUAGGGGGAUCAUCCGGUGUUCUCACCGGUGCACUUCCCCUAGUGGAGGCCAGCAUCGGUUUCUGUCGGGGGAUAAAAGCUUCAGGAAUGUGGCUCCCUUCGGGGAGUGUUAUAGCCUGUUGCAUAAUACCCUGACGGGGACCGAGGUUCGCGCAUUGCAAGGAUGCUGGCGUAAUGGUUAUUAAUCACCCGUCUUGAAACACGGACCAAG